rnacentral:rRNA from 1 species
UACGUAGGGGGCGAGCGUUGUCCGGAUUCAUUGGGCGUAAAGAGCGUGUAGGCGGCUUGGCAAGUCUGACGUGAAAGCCCGCGGCUCAACCUCGGAUUGUCGUUGGAAACUGCCUCGCUAGAGUCCGGAAGAGGAGAGCGGAAUUCCUGGUGUAGCGGUGGAAUGCGCAGAUAUCAGGAAGAACACCCGUGGCGAAGGCGGCUCUCUGGGACGGUACUGACGCUGAGACGCGAAAGCGUGGGGAGCGAACAGG